ACAAGCAUGUCCCACUAAAGAGGGCCGAGGUGAUGUCAUUAGUGAGGAGCGGCUAGGCUGAGGGGGACGUGGGCGUUUUUUGAGCAGCGAGCCCCAGCGUGUCGUUGGCAGAGAGCGCGGCGACGCUGCGGAAGGGGCCUCCUGCAAUGCUAUCCCUCGACGGGAGGGAUAAUUUUAGCCCAGCCCUAGGUUUGGUUCCAGUGUGUCGGAGGAGCACCAAAGCCGACUGCUGCUGCGCAUCGGCUUUCAGGAGCAUUUCUAAGAUUGUGAAAGAGGAUUCGAUCAUCCUAAGACUCUGAAUGACAUCGCCUGCCCCAUCCUGACAUCCUCCACACCUCCUAAUUCUAAAAGCAUCCUGGGCAUGAAAGAGAAGGCACCAGGGCCCAGGGUGUUCUGGACUUGAUAUUCUUCGUCGUACCAAGGAAGGCUGUUGUACAAGCAUCCCAAUGGACUGCCCACCGGUCCCAAGAUGCCGAUUGGUUCACAUGCGACCCGUGGAGAUGAUGCAAGCAAAAAUAAUUGAAUCUUGUCCCAUCUCAGCAUGAGAACCCAACCUGCUGUCGGGCCACUAGCGGAAUAAUCCAUCAUCUGGCGGUCAGGAGCGGUCAACAGAUGUAACCGCAAGCGACCACAUCUGAGGGCAGUGGGAAGGCGUUGGAUUCAGAACCCUGCUUUGUCCACUUCAACACCUUUGGCCGUGAAGGAUGUGUGUGUGCACUUGUUAGCAGGUCCAGGCUAACACCAAAGUGGGGUGGUUCCCCUGCUCUCCGAUGACCAUAACGCCGUGGCAAAUGGAUGUAUAAUCUGUGAGGAACGGUGUGUAGAGAAACAAGGUCAAUAUUACUCACUUAGUAAAAAUCAUCUCUUCGGCACAGCUGUUUGGGUUUCUCACAGUCAUGGCUGAUUAUUUAGCUAGCUAACGCAGUGCUUAUUUGUAUUUACGGAACAAUUAUUUGGGGGUUUCAUGGUGGAGCCUCGUCUGUGAUUCGAACCGUAUCCAAGCCCCGUUGGUUUACUUCAGGCGGUUCCGCCAGUCGGCAAGCCCAGGUGGGGGGUGGGGGGGGGGCAAUCUGUCCUGCAGCUUCGGACUAAGCUAUUUCAGGCCUCCUGUCUAUAGGAGAGGAUGGGGGAGGAAGUGUGUGGGUCCGUGUCCUGAGGGGGACC